GAUGAACGCUGGCGGCGUGCCUAACACAUGCAAGUCGAGCGAUCUUCUUCGGAAGGGAGCGGCGGACGGGUGAGUAACGCGUGGGUAACCUGCCCUGUACACACGGAUAACAUACCGAAAGGUAUGCUAAUACGGGAUAACAUAAGAAAGUCGCAUGGCUUUCUUAUCAAAGCUUUUGCGGUACAGGAUGGACCCGCGUCUGAUUAGCUAGUUGGUAAGGUAACGGCUUACCAAGGCGACGAUUAGUAGCCGACCUGAGAGGGUGAUCGGCCACAUUGGAACUGAGACACGGUCCAAACUCCUACGGGAGGCAGCAGUGGGGAAUAUUGCACAAUGGGCGAAAGCCUGAUGCAGCAACGCCGCGUGAGCGAUGAAGGCCUUCGGGUCGUAAAGCUCUGUCCUCAAGGAAGAUAAUGACGGUACUUGAGGAGGAAGCCCCGGCUAACUACGUGCCAGCAGCCGCGGUAAUACGUAGGGGGCUAGCGUUAUCCGGAAUUACUGGGCGUAAAGGGUGCGUAGGCGGUCUUUCAAGUCAGAAGUGAAAGGCUACGGCUCAACCGUAGUAAGCUUUUGAAACUGUAAGACUUGAGUGCAGGAGAGGAGAGUGGAAUUCCUAGUGUAGCGGUGAAAUGCGUAGAUAUUAGGAGGAACACCAGUUGCGAAGGCGGCUCUCUGGACUGUAACUGACGCUGAGGCACGAAAGCGUGGGGAG
rnacentral:rRNA from 1 species